GGGGGCGUAGUUCAACAGUAGAACUCCGGUCUCCAAAACCGGUAACGAGGGCGCAACACCUUCCGCCCCCGCCA
rnacentral:tRNA from 1 species